AGAAGAAGAAGAAGAAGAAGGUGGGAGCCACAAAUCCUUCCCUAAAUAAAAAGAGAAGUGGUGUUACAGGUUAGUUCUUACAAUGAUAAGGGAAAAAGAAAGGCUGCAGAGAUUCUUACUACCGAAUCUACUAUGAAAUGGGUCUGCAACUAUAACCCAUCAAAAUAAGCAUAACUGAAACAAAAUUUGACCUUGUCAUUAGCAUAACUGAAACAAAAUUUGACCUUGUCAUU
rnacentral:misc_RNA from 1 species